ensembl:lncRNA
AUGCUCUCUCCUGCCACGUUCCCUUUCUCCCCCCUGCUCCGCCUUUUACUCCCCUCCGUCCUCACACCUUUGCCGGCCUGGCUCCUCGCUCUCUGGCUCCUGCUCCGCUGUUUGCUUGCCUGGCUGCGCGCACGUGUUCUCUCUUGCUUGCUUGUCAAUCGCUCGCUGGCCCCUUUGCUCGAGCGCUCGCUUGCUCUCCUCUGUUUGCUGCUCUCUCCCCUGCUUGCUCCUCGCUCGCUUUCUCCUCUGCUUGCUGCUUUCUCCCUCUCUCCCCUGCUUGCUCCUCACUCGCUCUCUCCUCUGCUUGCUGCUCUGUUCCCCUGCUUGCUCCUCACGUGCUCUCUCCUCUGCUUGCUCUUCGCUUGCUUUCUCUUCUGCUUGCUCCUCGCUCGCUCUCUCCUCUGCUUGCUGCUCUCUCUUCCCCUGCUUGCUCCUCACAUGCUCUCUCCUCUGCUUGCUGCUCUCUCCCUCUCUCCCCUGCUUGCUCCUCGCUCGCUCUCUCCUCUGCUUGCUGCUCUCUCUUCCCCUGCUUGCUGCUCACUCGCUCUCUCCCCUGCUUGCUCCUCGCUCUCUUUCUCCUCUGCUUGCUCCUCGCUCGCUCUCUCCCCUGCUUGCUGCUCACUCGCUCUCUCCUUUGCUUGCUGCUCUCUCUUCCCCUGCUUGCUGCUCACUCGCUCUCUCCUCUGCUUGCUCCUCACUCGCUCUCUCCCCUGCUUGCUGCUCACUUGCUCUCUCCUUUGCUUGCUGCUCUCUCUUCCCCUGCUUGCUGCUCACUCGCUCUCUCCUCUGCUUGCUCCUCGCUCUCUCCCCUGCUUGCUCCUCGCUCGCUUUCUCCUCUGCUUGCUGCUCUGUUCCCCUGCUUGCUCUUCGCACGCUCUGUCCCCUGCUUGCUCCUCGCUCGCUCUCUCCUUCCUCUGCUUGCUCUUCACUUGCCUUGCCAUCGGCUCUCUCUCUGCUCUGGUUUGCUCAUCCUGCUGCUCUGGCUUAAUCUCGUUCUCUGCUGUUGCACCCUCUCCCUUGCAUGCCCCUUUGCUCUCCCCAUCGCUGCAUGCUCGCUCGCUCUGUUUCUCUGCUCAUUCUUUCACUCGCUUCUGCUCGGCCUGUUUGCUCAUCCUGCCUUUCUUGCCUUGCCGUGCUCGCUUUCUCUCUCUCUCUGUCUCUCCCCUGGCCGCAUGCUCGCUGCUGGAACCUGAAGGCAGGGCAGGGAAGCCUCCUCCCACACACACACUUUUACAAGUGGGAGAAUCGUUCUCCCUGGCUUUUUCCACAAAAGAAACAGAAGCUCAGAAUUCAUGUUCCCCCCAGAUUUUCUUUCCCCCACCCCGUAGAAUAAUCAAUUCUGCCGGGGAGGCGCGGCAAUGACACCUUUCGCCCACCAGGGGCUGCUGUGGUGCCAGAAGCGAGAGCAGCCAGCCCUGGCGAGAGAGGGGCCACUUUGGAUUUGUAUUAUUCUAUGGGGCGGGGGGAAGAAAAUCUGCGGGGGACGUGAAUUCUGCGCUCAUGGCUCUUUUUUCUUUCCUCGCCCUGCCCUGUGUCUUUCCCUUGCUUGCGCCUGUUUGCACGCUGUCUUGCUCACUUUGGCUCACCCCUUUUGCCCAGUGGGCAGGGCCCAUUUUUAGGAGCCGCUCCAAGCCGACGGCGGGAGAGAGCUCUUAAUGAAUCUGUCCCCAACGGUAGCUGUAGUAUAGACAUAGCCUCACUGGGCCCCCCCUGGCUGGUCAGGGGCUUUCUGGGUAAGAGCUGCAAUUUGGAGCAGUAUUAGGGGUGAGGCGGGCUGGUCCGGGGGGUGUUGUAUUAGUGUUUAGGGACUGGGGCUGCUUAUUUA